rnacentral:rRNA from 1 species
UAGGGAAUCUUCGGCAAUGGACGGAAGUCUGACCGAGCAACGCCGCGUGAGUGAAGAAGGUUUUCGGAUCGUAAAGCUCUGUUGUAAGAGAAGAACGAGUGUGAGAGUGGAAAGCUCACACUGUGACGGUAUCUUACCAGAAAGGGACGGCUAACUACGUGCCAGCAGCCGCGGUAAUACGUAGGUCCCGAGCGUUGUCCGGAUUUAUUGGGCGUAAAGCGAGCGCAGGCGGUUAGAUAAGUCUGAAGUUAAAGGCUGUGGCUUAACCAUAGUACGCUUUGGAAACUGUUUAACUUGAGUGCAAGAGGGGAGAGUGGAAUUCCAUGUGUAGCGGUGAAAUGCGUAGAUAUAUGGAGGAACACCGGUGGCGAAAGCGGCUCUCUGGCUUGUAACUGACGCUGAGGCUCGAAAGCGUGGGGAGCAAACAGGAUUAGAUACCCUGGUAGUCCACGCCGUAACGAUGAGUGCUAGGUGUUAGACCCUUUCCGGGGUUUAGUGCCGCAGCUAACGCAUUAAGCACUCCGCCUGGGGAGUACGACCGCAAGGUU